AUGCAGUCUUGCUAAUCUACCCAAUCUUCAGAUUUAAAUUAAUAGAAAUUUGGCUAUAGGACAGGACCUUUUUGAGCCCUUGCAGGCUAAGGUGAAAAGCUAAUAGAUCUCAUUUUCUGCAUAUUUUGGAGUUUGUAGACUUGACUGCCCUUUGUUCUCUUCAAUAGUGGUAGAAAUUCCACAUAAAGUAAAACUGGAAGUGAGUGACUUCAGGGGUGCCGAUUUCAGUAAGAGUGUUCAGUAUGAGUGUUCAAGUAUUGAGCGUGAUGUAACAGGGAAGGUUGAUUUUCUAAAAGAGUUUGUGAAGUCCCCUGAGGAUUUCAUGAAAAUUAUCACACUCAUAAGUCUUCAUGCUUUGGGAAAGGAUACCAAAGGUCCUCAUUUGUUUCCUGGAGAGGAAGUCCUAUUAGUAAGAAAAGAUUAUGCAGAUGGAGAGACAAUAACCUACAAGAAGAAGAGUGACCUUGCAGGUUACAUGAUCACUCUUCAUGAAUGUCAACAAAUAAACAAUUUCCUUUACCAAGGGAAUUUCCACCUGAUGAGCUUCCUUUGGCUGCUGUCAGAAUUUGCUCUGAUAAAGUUUUGUAAGGAAAGAGAGUAACAAGAUGAGAGUAAAGGGCAAGAAGGCUAAAGUCCGAAGAAACCCAAACAAGGCUAAUUGUUUUUUGUUUUUUUUUUUUUUUAAGAAAACAUUAAAUUUAGUUAUCUUAUAAGCAAUAAUUAAAGGCAAAAAGAUUUCCCAUACUUUUAUGUCAUUCUUUUAGUUGAAAACUAGGUGACAUAAAAUGUUUAAAGGGGUUAGUUUUAAGUGUCAGUGCCAGGUAUCACAAAACAAUUAGUGUUAUCAACAAAGUUGAUGAUGAUAAUUGGCUACAGUAGACCCAUUAUCAACUCAGUUACAAUGAAGAUGUUGUAAAGUCCUGAGAAACCCAACCAAGGCUAAUUUGUUUUCAAAA